AUGAGUGUUUGAUUUUAAUAAAAAAAAAAAAAAAAUCUGUUCUUAUCAGUUUAAUAUCUCAUACGUCCCCUAUCUGGGGACUACAUAUUAAAUUGAUUUUUGGAUCACAGAGCUGGAGUCGGGGCUUGCUCUGUCCACUCCACGCAUCGGCCUGGUAUUGCAGUGUCUCCAGGAAUGGUGUGCUUCCC
rnacentral:snRNA from 12 species